AUCUAUGGCCAUGCUACCCUGAGCAAGCCCAAUCCCGUGUGAUCUUGGAAGCUAAGCAGGGUUGGGCCUGGUUAGUACUUGGAUGGGAGACCAUCUAGGAAGGGAAUGUAAGCUGACAAGGUC
ensembl:rRNA 5S_rRNA 5S ribosomal RNA